rnacentral:rRNA from 1 species
GGCGAACGCUGGCGGCGGGCUUAACACAUGCAAGUCGAACGGAAAGGCCCUGCUUUUGUGGGGUGCUCGAGUGGCGAACGGGUGAGUAACACGUGAGUAACCUGCCCUUGACUUUGGGAUAACUUCAGGAAACUGGGGCUAAUACCGGAUAGGAGCUCCUGCUGCAUGGUAGGGGUUGGAAAUUUUCGGCGGUUGGGGAUGGACUCGCGGCUUAUCAGCUUGUUGGUGGGGUAGUGGCUUACCAAGGCUUUGACGGGUAGCCGGCCGGAGAGGGUGACCGGCCACAUUGGGACUGAGAUACGGCCCAGACUCCUACGGGAGGCAGCAGUGGGGAAUAUGGCACAAUGGGCGGAAGCCUGAUGCAGCAACGCCGCGUGCGGGAUGACGGCCUGCGGGUUGUAAACCGCUUUCGCCUGUGACGAAGCGUGAGUGACGGUAAUGGGUAAAGAAGCACCGGCUAACUACGUG